rnacentral:rRNA from 1 species
AUUGAACGCUGGCGGCAUGCCUUACACAUGCAAGUCGAACGGUAACGCGGGGCAACCUGGCGACGAGUGGCGAACGGGUGAGUAAUAUAUCGGAACGUGCCCAAUAGUGGGGGAUAGCCCGGCGAAAGCCGGAUUAAUACCGCAUACGACCUGAGGGUGAAAGCGGGGGAUCGCAAGACCUCGCGCUAUUGGAGCGGCCGAUAUCAGAUUAGGUAGUUGGUGGGGUAAAAGCCUACCAAGCCUACGAUCAGUAGCCGACCUGAGAGGGUGACCGGCCACAUUGGGACUGAGACACGGCCCAAACUCCUACGGGAGGCAGCAGUGGGGAAUAUUGCACAAUGGGGGAAACCCUGAUGCAGCGACGCCGCGUGAGCGAUGAAGUAUUUCGGUAUGUAAAGCUCUAUCAGCAGGGAAGAAAAUGACGGUACCUGACUAAGAAGCCCCGGCUAACUACGUGCCAGCAGCCGCGGUAAU